UGGGAGCACAGGUGAAAGCAGUUCACCCCUGUUAGGCCUUCAUGUGAGGGUUGACUGCCACUGAGGAAGGAUCUCCUUCUGGGGGGUUCCCUACAAACCCAGCACCUUCAUGAUAGGGGUGAGCAAUCUUCUCCCUCCCUUCCCACCUUUAUAGCACCUUUCUAUUGUGCUGGUCCUUCCACCUCUUGUGCAACACCUAUUCCAUUGUGUUUAUCUUUCCAAUUGCUACAAUUUGGAAAUAACAUUCAUGAACCUCAAAGUGUUACUGACUCAGGCAGGAAUUUUGAUUGGACUUCUUAAACCUCCAGUAGAACCACGUGGCUUUGACUGCUGAAUGUCAGCACAUGAAUGAAUGAAUAUACUUAAGAGGCUCUUGUCUCACAUGUAAGACAACCAAUUUCCAUGCUCAGUAAUCACAGUUUCUUAGACAGUAGAGCUAGAAACAUGUUUAAAUGCUGCCUGUCUGCCUCAGUUUGUCCUUAAGACCUGAAACUGAAAGCAUGUUGCAUGUUGUUGUGUAUAAACACAUACACUCAAAAGGUGUAGGCAUAGGCAGGUAAUUUAAUUAUAUGUGUGACUUGACUUUUCCUCGAAUUGUAAACCAUGACUGAGGAAUAGAGUUCCUCAUUGAUCUUCAGUUUCUGAAAUGUCUGCUGGAUGGACCUGGGACAGAGGGACUACACUGAUGAGUGGUGAAGUCACUAGACUUUGGAAUGCUUUGAAAAGUGUAUUGAAUUCACUGUCCAGCAAAUACACUGGAAAAUCACCAUUCUUUUUUAUUGGUGAGGCAACUUGCAGUGCUUCUUUGUUGAACAGAAGCCAGAAUGCUGUUGCAGCUCCAUUAAGAAAACUUGCUUUUGUAAAUGCUUGAGGUAAUCUCACUCUUUGGGCCCUCCUUGGAAAAUAAUGUGCUUCAAGUUUUUUAUACUAGACUGUCAUCUUGCAUAUUGUGAAGACUUCAAGGCCGGAUAACUCUCAGACUGUGAAGAAAGAAGCUCAACUGUUUGAGAAAUUUCUCUAAAUGCAAAUAUUUACUUGUAUUUAACUGAUAAUACUCCAACAGUUAACUUAAGAUUUUAACCUUCCUAAUAUCUCAUGGACUUAAUUAGAAACUAAAUAUAUUUUUUUAUUUUGUAAUCCAGAAAAUACACAGAUUGAGAGAAGACUGAAGCAACAGUUAUCCUGGAUGUUUAGUUUAUAUUUUUUCACAAAGAAUAAGUUUCCUUCCUUUUCUUUCUUUCUUACUCUGCUCUUUGUUAAAUGCCUUACUUUAAAAUUUACUGCAAUGUAUUCCCUUCCCACACCCAAAUUUGAAGUUUUACAAUACCUAAAGUAACUGUUAAUCAGGAAGAUUACAUGGUAAUAAUUCUCUGCAUUUUCAGUAAAUUGUGAGAUUCUUCUUUUAGAUUAACUUUGGUUGUACAGUGUAUCAGUAAUCUCACAGAAUUUUAGAAUAAAAGUAAUGUAUACAUUAAGUACA
rnacentral:lncRNA from 1 species